rnacentral:lncRNA from 1 species
UCCGGGGAGGUACUCCGUGGCCGUGGUCUCGAAUUGACGACGACGAUCGGUAUUGCCAAACAAGCGCCCCAAGCUUCCUGGUCGAGGAGUCCAACCAGAUCGUGCACACAAUGGAGGGGGCCACGGACGCUUCCCCAGUGCGAGGGGCUGUGAAACAGCUUCUUCGGGAUCUACUCGUAUUGGCACUACGGUGACUAAGACCACCAAGAGUAGCUCUCUCAUGGAGGGCAGGUCAAGGAGGAGGCAGGUUCGGUGAUCUAUUCUCCAAAUCAACUGACUAAUUAUUUCUGAGCUCAAGUGGUGGAGCAUGUUACCAAGCCCCACUAUUGAAGACCACAAC